UGGGCCCAGAGCUGAUCCUGUGCCACAGGGCUCCAUACCCAAAUAACACCAUGAGAGAGCUAGCCUUCCAGGAGUGCAAAGAAGUCUGUGAAUGAAGGUAUCACCUUUGUAUGUGCUUUCAUCGGCAAAGCCAGUAAGUUUCACAAUACGAACUGUGAAAAUGGUAGCAGUCUCCAUGAAUUCUUACCUUGGUCAUUUUGCCUGAUCCACCACAUCCAAGAAGAACUGUAUGCUGGUCCAUGUCAACACUGCACUCUCAUCAGAUCCAAUCAACUGAAAAUCUGAGGACUAGGGGAGCUUUGGGUGAACCCUGGUGUUGCACUAAAAGAGCUCUUUAUACCUGACCCUAAUAAAGCCAUCACAUGUCUGAGUA